ACCACAUGACACAUUUCCCUAAUUACUUACAUUGAUUAGUACACUCUCAUCUUGUGUCUCAGGUUUUAUUGCCUCUAUAGUGGUCAUAGACACGCCCUAUUCAAAUAGAUUAGGGUAUAAACAGCAUGAUCGUGGUUGGACUGGUUAUCAUUGCGCUCUUUGAUAACACUUCAAUGUGUUUUAAAAUGCUGUGUAGACAAACUGUGAGAAUGAUUUUAGGAUACUGUGUUUUAUUUGCUCUAAUAUCAUAUUCUUAUGGACAGUCCCUGACCUCGUCUGCUUCUGUGGUGAAGAAACCAGGAGAGUCGGUCACUCUGUCCUGCACUGUGUCUGGGCUCUCGCUUGCCUGGUUGCACUGGAUCCGUCAGAAACCAGGACAAGGACUGGAGUGGAUCGGGCGCAUUGAUAGUGGCACUGGCACCGUGUUCGCUCAGUCUCUACAGGGCCAGUUCUCCAUCAAUAAAGACACCAAUAAAAACUUGCUGUACCUAGAAGUGAAGAGUCUGAAAGCUGAAGACACGGCAGUUUAUUACUGUGCAAAAGAGACACACUGACACAACAGGCUCCAG